rfam:Picea glauca, whole genome shotgun sequence.
ACAUGCCUACAUCAUAACGUUAAUUCAUUGGAUCCCAUUAGAAAUCUACAGUUAAGCACGCUCACGCUAGAGUAGUAUUGGGAUGGAUGACCGCCCGAGAAGUCCUAGUGUUUUACCUGCC